GUGAAUCAUCGAAUCUUUGAACGCAAAUUGCACUUUCUAGUAUUCCGGAAAGUAUGCCUGUUUGAGGGUCAGUUAAAUAAAAAUCGGUGUUGUUCCUGCCUUUCGUUGUUACGCCUCGGAAUUGGGUCGUCUUUCCUUCGGUUAAGUGACUUAAAAUUUUUGCAUGAUUUUCGAACGUAUUCAAAUCGCUUACGUACGUUUGAGAUAUCGAAUACUUUAUUAGGUUCGGUCAUCCUCAUGAUUCGCACCUAUAAUGUUUCAUUAAUUGACCUCAACUCAGCUAAGAAUACCCGC
rnacentral:misc_RNA from 1 species